rnacentral:rRNA from 1 species
CUGCCCUUGGGUCCGGCAUAACCCCGGGAAACUGGGGAUAAUUCCGGAUAACGCAUAUAUGCUGGAAUGCUUUAUGCGUCAAAUGGAUUCGUCUGCCCAAGGAUGGGUCUGCGGCCUAUCAGGUAGUAGUGGGUGUAAUGUACCUACUAGCCGACGACGGGUACGGGUUGUGAGAGCAAGAGCCCGGAGAUGGAUUCUGAGACAUGAAUCCAGGCCCUACGGGGCGCAGCAGGCGCGAAAACUUUACAAUGCGGGAAACCGUGAUAAGGGGACACCGAGUGCCAGCAUCAUAUGCUGGCUGUCCGGGUGUGUAAAAUACACCCGUUAGCAAGGGCCGGGCAAGACCGGUGCCAGCCGCCGCGGUAACACCGGCGGCCCGAGUGGUGAUCGUGAUUAUUGGGUCUAAAGGGUCCGUAGCCGGUUUGGUCAGUCCUCCGGGAAAUCUGACGGCUUAACCGUUAGGCUUUCGGAGGAUACUGCCAGGCUUGGAACCGGGAGGGGUAAGAGGUACUACAGGGGUAGGAGUGAAAUCUUGUAAUCCCUGUGGGACCACCUGUGGCGAAGGCGUCUUACCAGAACGGGUUCGACGGUGAGGGACGAAAGCUGGGGGCACGAACCGGA